CACCAUUGUCAAACAUGCCUCAGACUCACCAGGGCUGCGUUUGUUUCCCAGGCACGGCGCCAGGUUUCUGUCCUGCUCCAAACAGGGAGAUACAACCUGCACGCCACAGCUCUCCCCCUCAGCUUCUCCCACACUGCACCAGCACCUGUUUUGUAACACUAUUCUCUUUCUUCAAGGAAUACUUUCUGUUUGUCUUAUCUCCUUUGGAGCAGGCCUUUCUGUAGCCAAGAUAUUCCUCUGUGUGUUCACACGGGACUGAGCAGCUGCCAGAAGAAAUAGUGUUGUACUUGCAGAAGGUGGACUGGAACUAUAUUUCUUGAUCAUGGUGUGCACUUCCAAAAACGUGUCAGUGUGGCCCUGGGACACAGCUGUGCACAGAGGUGUCAGUUCCUAUGAGAUGACCCAAAUUGUGUCACUCCAUUCACACUCCUGAGCUCCAAACCUGAACAGCACCCAUUUUAACUGCUGGGGAUUGGGAUUUACAGGAAGAGCUCCAAUCCUGCCAGCAUUCCUUCUGGGAAAUUGGCUCCUGAUCUUCUACAAGUCUGCACAAACCCAAUUUCCAGUGGAACCAGGCGUGGCACAUGAAGGUUACAACGUUGGUGUUCAUUGCCAGCAGUGAAAACAAAGUGAUUAAAAUGAAAAUGCCACCUCCAGCUCGCUUUGCUGCUGCAGUGCCUGAGCUAUCUUCAUUGUUUUCUCCAGGGCAGCACGGAUGCUCUGCAUGGAUUCCUUCUGCUCCAGGGAGAUUUCUUCCAUCCGGGCACACAGGGAUUUGUACCGGGACUUCAGCAGCGGGAGCUCCUUCAGGAGAGCAGCUGGAUCCUCCUGUGGGAGCAGAGCUUUUCAAUUACAUCAAAAGACAAAACUCACGUGGCCACACUUCACUUAAAAGUGUAGGUGUUAGAAAUAACAUGAAAUGAUCCUUUACAGUGAAAAUGUACAGGAGAAAAGGGCUUAUUUAUCAAAUCCUUUACGUGAUGUCAUUUAUUGUUUUCCUCUCAUCUCUCUCCCAAAUCUGAAUUUAGUCACUGCUCAUUGGCAAUUUCAUCUUGAUUCUCAGAGUUUUAGCUCAGACUGGAAUCUCUAACCUGAAUUUAGGUGCUAACACCACUGAUUUCUCAGAGCAGAACAUGGGAGAAUUUCACUAGCCCAAGAAACCAAAGGAGUUUGGUUUGAAUUCAUACGAGGCCACUUAUUUUGCUAGAUGAUACAGGAAGAAAUUAAUAAUAAUAAUAAUAAUAAUAAUAAUAAUAAUAAUAAUAAUAAUAAUAAUAGUAGUAGUAGUAGUAGUAGCCUGAUUAGUUGAAAGAACACCCACAUACAUUAUUUCAGGUUUAAAGAAAAAUACCCAUUUAUUACCAACUUCAUGCAAUAAAAUUGAAUUUCAUCUGAAAAUACUACCUCUGCUGUAUCAUCAGGAAGGCUUUUCAUUAUUUCAAACUCCACUCUGCGCUGAAUAUAAUCCAGAUCAGAUUCUGCUUUCUGGAACUAAAAUGUUUAAGGUCAGCACAGUAUAUUAAAACCCAAAAACUGCAGACAAACCCCAACCUGUGUUUCAGGAAAGCAGGAGGCAGCUGCCUCACUUUGAAAAGCUCAGAGACCAUAAAAAGUUUUCAAAUUCAAUUUUUUUCAAAUAUAAAGAGUUGUGUUAGCAAAACUUACAACACUCAGUUAUUUACACAGAGGAGAUUAUGAGUAAAUUCAGGAUCCAAGAGUAUCAUCAGAGCUUUUAUUAAUAAUCACAUUAGGGAUGUGUUCCUUCAGAUGGUUUUAAUGUCCACAAUACAUUUUAUUAUUCCCUAACAAACCAGACUGACUAACAGCUCAUAAAAUGGAUGACAUCACUUUUCUUUCCUUGGGAUAAAUAAGCCACCAGAGAAUUGUCUAAUUGCCUUGUAAAACAGUCUGCUGAUAGCAUUACUACUUAAUUAAUUUUAGUCUGCAAUUUUAAUAUCUGUUAAAGACUUCCACUUUCAGGAAAGGCAGUUUUCCCAGCUCCCAAGCAACUCAUUAACUCUUUGACAUAAUAAUUCAGUGAUUUUACAGUCACAGAAGAGACAAUGAUGAAAGCAAGUUAAAAAUGGUAAAAUGGUUUUGACUUCCUUGUUUUUCACUGUUUCUUUUCAGAUUAACCCCAAAGUGACCAUUUGAAUUUAUUUUUUUUUUAAGGAUUAAAGGCUGUAUUUGUUAUAAAGGAAUAAAUACCCACAGUCUGUGGUCAGGCUGGGAUUCCAAUAUUUAUGUUUUGGACAUCAGCCUUAAGGAAUGGCCAUUCAUGCCUUUGGGAGUCUGGAAACUCAGCCUGCAGGAGCAGGAUUAGAUCCAGGACUCUCUCCAAUAAAAGCCUCUUUCUGAGGGGGUGAUGGAUGAUGUUUCACACACCUCCAGCACAUUUUCAAAUAAUAGCUUGAGAAAGGGAAAAUAAAUCCAGUGAGGAGCUCGAGCAUCUAUAAAUCAGG